UUUCUACAGACUUUUUUUCGAUACUUAAAAUGUAUACAUUUAUGUUUAACUAUAUAUAAUAAAUAUUUAUGAGUAUAAUAAUUUGUAUACUUUAAAAAAGAAAUAAUAACUGCAAAUUUAAUAUAAACAAUUAAACAUAAUAUAACCGGAUACUUAAACCGUAACUGAUAACAUAACCGAUAAUACAAACUAAUAAAAUUAUACUCGAUUUUAUAUAUCUUACGAAUUACGAUAGUAUAUAGGGCUAAUUGACGAUAUUUUUGUUUGUUUAUUUUAUAUCAACAUAAUUGUUAUGGCAGGCAUAGGUGUGUUAACAUUACGUAUUCCGAUCUUUUAUUGUCCGACGGGAAAUAACUAUAAUAAUAAUUGUUGUGUUAAUAACAAUUGGUAGUGGAGGGAAUAAUCAUUGAUAGUUUAAUAAUAUAUUAUGUCGCGUGCAGUAGUUAUUGAACGUUUAUUUAUGAACAAUUUUCUAUAUUAUACGACACGUAAACCAGUGGCCACACUGGUGUUUUACGCAGGUGGCUUAAUCGGGGCGGGUAGGGGAGAAGGCUCGAAUAAACUUCAUUGUUAGAUAAAUGACAAAUAGUAUUAUUUAGAUAAAUUCGUAUAAUUACUGACGGCGUUCUAUUACGUAAUAUCAUAGAGUUGUAAUUACGAUUUGAGAAAAUUGUCAACGGAAAACAAGUUUUUCGAUAUUACGUGUAGGUAUUGAUACUGUUGUAAACGUUGAUUCGUUUAACUUGCGUGCCGUGACGGCCGCUAACUGCGAAGACUGUCAGAAUGCUUAAAACGUAUUUCGAAAUAAUAUUAUUAUGCGUAGGUUAGGCGCACACGGAUUUUUGACGUGAUUCCCGCAGUGACGUACUUGCACCUUUAUAAACCAGGGGAGACGUGACUUUUUAUUUUUUAUUAUUCUGGGAUAAUAGUUUUGAAAAUUCGACUUUGAGGAAAUGUCUUUGUAAUACCGCACGAUAUUGUUAUUCGCCGGGAGGGAGCUCGUGAAACUCGUAAAUACGUCACUGGCCGCAAUCGAAUUUUUGUUGUUCUAAUUAUUCUAAAGCGUAUACUUAUACACGUAAGUAUACCUAUACAAUUUACGGGGCUUCGAUUCAAAUUAUAUUAUGCAAUAGUUCUUUAGGUAAACACCCGCAAUACGACUCCGAAUCUUUGUAUAAUUAUUGUGUUUUUCACAAUAUCGAUUAUAC